AUUGAACGCUGGCGGCGUGCUUAACACAUGCAAGUCGAACGGUAAGGCCCUUCGGGGUACACAAGUGGCGAACGGGUGAGUAACACGUGGGUGAUCUGCCCUGCACUUUGGGAUAAGCCUGGGAAACUGGGUCUAAUACCGGAUAGGACCACGCGCUUCAUGGUGUGUGGUGGAAAGCUUUUGCGGUGUGGGAUGGGCCCGCGGCCUAUCAGCUUGUUGGUGGGGUAAUGGCCUACCAAGGCGACGACGGGUAGCAGGCCUGAGAGGGUGUCCGGCCACACUGGGACUGAGAUACGGCCCAGACUCCUACGGGAGGCAGCAGUGGGGAAUAUUGCACAAUGGGCGCAAGCCUGAUGCAGCGACGCCGCGUGAGGGAUGACGGCCUUCGGGUUGUAAACCUCUUUCAGCAGGGACGAAGCGCAAGUGACGGUACCUGUAGAAGAAGCACCGGCCAACUACGUGCCAGCCGCCGCCGUAA
rnacentral:rRNA from 1 species